rnacentral:lncRNA from 1 species
UAGGGUGAGGCCCUGUCCCCCUGCAGGGCACAGGGACUUCCUGUCACUGCUUUAGUCCAGGGACACUGCUCUGUCCUCCAGGCCUCAGCUCUCAGGGACCUCCAUGGCUGAGCCCUCCCUUCUGGAGCCCUGGCCUCCUGCCUGCUGUGACCCCACCCUCUGCUGGCUUUCUGUGACCUCGGGGUGCCCUCCCUCUGUCCCCUUCCUGGCCCUCAUCUCUGUCUGUCUGGCAUCUGCUCCUGGGCCUCAGAAGGACCCUGAGGGGAUGAGCCCCCCACACCCCCUGAGGAGCCCCCAUGCCCUGGAGCCCAGGGACCAGGCUCAGUGUUAGGAUGUGAGGCCAGCACUGCAGGAAGGAAGCGGCCAGACCCGCGGAGGCCUCCCGGGAAGCCCCUGAAGUCCCCUGAGGCAGGGACAGAGUCUAGUUUAAUUUCUGAAGGAUCCCUCUGCCACCGAGUGGGAAGCUGGCUGGAGGAGGCAGCGGGAACCAAGCAGACCCCGUCUGCCUCUGUCUCCCUGCUGCAGAGCCCACCUGAUGAAGACCCCCAGGGAGCGGUAUACGCCCAGGUGAAGCACGCAGCACCCAGGGGCAGAGGGGCACGCCCCUCCAGCGGCCCCGUCCGAGGGGGGCUCCUGGACACCAAGGAUGGACAGGCAGGGGAGGGACAGGCAGACGGACGCUCAGGCUGCAGCCCCUGAGGGUCCCCAGGACGUGACCUACGCCCAGCUGUGCAGCUGGACGCUCGGGACGGGGGCACAGCGGCGCCUCCUCCCUCCCGGCCCGGGGCCCUCCCAGCCGAGCCCAGUGUGUAUGCUGCCCUGGCGUCCUCGCCCCGAGCCAUCCCCAGGGACACUGAGUGACGCCUCGGCCAGGGACCGACAGAGCUCCAGAGCUGCAGACCUCCUGAGACUCACCGGCCGCACUGAGAGAACUAAGUGAGCUUCGUGUGCUGGAAACAAAGCCACAGAUAAGGCUGAGGCAGUGAAAUCACAAGUUCCAGCCCAGCCUGCUAGCUACAUAGAAACACCUCAUUGCAAAGUAACUCAAUCAAUCAAUCAAUCACAUUCUAAAACCCACGAAGGAAUUUCAGAAAACACCUUUUAAAAAGUCGACAAAGCCAGCAAUGGUGUCCCACACCUGUAAACCCACCGCUCCGGGAGGCUGAAGCAGGAGACCCGCUAACUCAAGAUCAGCCUGAGCAAUUUAAUGGCUUAAGCGAGAACUCAAGAUAAAAUUAAGUGUUACCAGAUUCUGGGGCUCAUAGGCUCUUCCUGGGAUUCUUUCCAGGUUCUUGUCCUGAACAAAGAAUUUGGACUAGAAGCGUGCAAACGCUAGCGAGGUUUUACAUUUAAUAAAGGUGUGGAAAGAAGCACCCUCUGCGGCGUGGGUGUGGCGCAGGGACCAUGAGGCUCGCUGCGCCAUCUUUUGUGUUCCCCCUCUGACGUCAGAUCCGGGCCGACCCAUCAAAAACCUGGUUGAUUUUUCUCUAGAAGAAUUGAAGAUAGCACUUCCUGAUUGGUCCCAGGUACAGGGCUUGGGAGGUGGUUUUUGCGCAUGCGUUCUCCAUCUCCUUGAUCGACAGGUUAGGCCCACUGGGCCAGAGGGCUGGCCACGCCUAAUCUCCUGCGUUUGCAGGGCUGCAGUUCUUUCCUUCCUGGCUGGCCACCAUGAUGUGGGCCCGACCACGUGCCAUUCUUGCCUCGCAGCUGGCCAACCACGCAAGACCUGAAACUUCUGAAUCCUUGAGCGCCUUCCCCACCUUGUGUGAGGAAGCCCACCCCGCCUCGUGGCGAGGACAGGGUGGAUGUCAGCGGCUUGCAGCCAGUUUGGAGGUGAUGUGGUCCCCCGCUCCCACACCGGUGCCGCCCCCUAGUGGUCAGGACUUUUAGCGUGGCGGAAGCCGGUGACCGGAAGGGAAGAAACAUUUCCUGGGGAGAUAACCUCGGGGUUCCUUUUGCUCCUGGUAAAUCUGAGCUCUGGUUUCCCUUGAGUAAUCUAAAGUACAAUGCGUGGUGCAAAUGGCAAAAAAAGGGGGCUGGGGUUCGAGCUUGGUGCAGCGUGAUUCAGUCACAGUGAGAAAAAAGAAAGAGGGAGAGACAAAGGAAGGAAGGAGGGAAGGAAGGAAGGGGAAGGGCCAAUGUCUCCUGCACAUAUAGCCAAUAUAUAAAUUCAGUAGUCAUCCAGACUUCAGCUUUGAAGCAAAAUAUAGCAGAUGAUGCCUCUCUAUUCCCUCAGCCCAGUGAGGCUCCUUUUUCAUCCACUAGGUUUGUGAUAAUUUGUUUCCGCAGCGGUUAUGAAACUGAUACAAUUUUGCGGGGGGGCAGGGUCUCACUACGUAGUGCAGGCUGGUCUUCAACCCACUGUGUAGCCCAGGUGGUCUUUUGUUUUGUUUUUUGGUACUAGGGAUCAAACUGGGGUCCUUGUGCUUGCAAGGCAGGCGGCGGAACCACUGAGCUAAAUCCCUGGCCCUAGGCUGGUCUUGAACUCACAGAGAUCCUCCUGCCUCACCCUUCCCAGGGCUGGAAUUGUAGGCAUAUGCCACCAUCAGGACCACCACCACCCAAGCCAGGCGUUGGUGGUCAUGCCUAUGAUCCUAGCAUUGAGGAGGCUGAGGCAGAAGGAUUGCUGCAAAUUUGAGGCCAGCCUGAGCUACAUACCAAGACUGUAUCUCAGAACAAUAAAUAAAUAAAUAAUAGAGAAGCACUGGGGGAUGUAGCUGCAGCUGCUGAGGGGUUGCUCAACAUGAAGCGUUUCUCAGAAACCAAACCCUUCCUCCCCUGCUGACCACAACUUCCCAGCAAGGCAGAGAAUACAGAAGCUGUGUCCUCCUGACUAUGAGAACCAGAACUCCAAUGCAGGGUCCCCCAGUGCCCCUGCCCUGAGGCCACACACCCAGUCCCCACUCAGGCACCUGCAGAUGGGACACAACAUCCAGAGCCCUAAGAGGUAAUCCCAGCACUCAGGAGGCUGAGGCAGGAGGAUCACUGAGAUCACUGAACUACAGAGCAAGAAGCUGUCUAAAAAAAUAAUCAAUCAAUAAAUAUAUAAAUAAAAAGAAAAAGGGCUGAGGACAUAGCUCAGUGUGAAGACCGUGGGUUCAAUUCCCAGUAGCACAAAAACAAAGCCAGGAAGUUCGCCCAACACCCAAGCCUUGACCCAGCCCCCCGGAAACCAACUUGAUUCAGCCCAGCCCCACACCGAAGGCCCAGGACCCCCCUGGCUCCUGGCCCGGUCACAGCGGGGAAGACCUGGACCUGCACUCACCACUUUCCCUGCCCGGAAAAGGCCCUUCCACCCCAGGUGCAAACAGCCGGCUGUGCGGUCCCUGCAGGCCACUGGGCUGCAGCCCACCCGAGACAGUGACACCCUCUGGGCGCUGCUCACAGCCCAAGCCAGCCGGGCCAGCCAGGCCUCUCCUGCCCACCUGGCCGCACCUGGAGGCAGAGCCCAGGUCGGGCCCGGCUUCUUUCCACUGCUCACGGCUGUGUGCUGGGGGCAAGGACGACACUGAAUGGAACACAAAUCGCACACUGUUCGUUCUGGUUUAUUCUGUGGCUGAAAAACUAAACAGUCCUUCAGCUCAGAAGGAAGUGGUGUGGUCCCAGGGAAGGCAGAGAGCCUGUCCUGGGCUCAAUUCCUCUACUGAAAAAAAAAAAAAAGCUAUUUUAAAAUAAUUUCAGGCCCCAACUAUGGAACCCAAUUUGGAAAAGGGUUUAUUCAACAGGCAAUGGUGGCACACACCUGUAAUUUCAGCACUCUGGAAGGCUGAGGCUGGAGGAUUGCAAAUUGAGCCCAGCCUGGGCAACUUAGUAACCUGGAGAAACCUUGUCUCAAAAAUUCAAAAAUAGGGGCGGGGAUCUAGCUCAGUGGUACUGCUGCCUGCCUUGCAAGCAUAAGGUCCCAAGUUCAAUCCUGGGUACAAAAAAAAAAAAAAGCCAUCCGUGAAUAUUUGGGCUGGGGAUGUAGCUCAGUGGUUUUGCCACCUGCUGCACAAGCCCAAGGACCCGAGUUCGAUCCCUG